UGCGGAAUAGCUCCGGGAAACUGGAAUUAAUACCGCAUACGCCCUACGGGGGAAAGAUUUAUCGGGGAAGGAUUGGCCCGCGUUGGAUUAGCUAGUUGGUGGGGUAAAGGCCUACCAAGGCGACGAUCCAUAGCUGGUCUGAGAGGAUGAUCAGCCACAUUGGGACUGAGACACGGCCCAAACUCCUACGGGAGGCAGCAGUGGGGAAUAUUGGACAAUGGGCGCAAGCCUGAUCCAGCCAUGCCGCGUGAGUGAUGAAGGCCUUAGGGUUGUAAAGCUCUUUCACCGAUGAAGAUAAUGACGGUAGUCGGAGAAGAAGCCCCGGCUAACUUCGUGCCAGCAGCCGCGGUAAUACGAAGGGGGCUAGCGUUGUUCGGAAUUACUGGGCGUAAAGCGCACGUAGGCGGAUAUUUAAGUCAGGGGUGAAAUCCCGCAGCUCAACUGCGGAACUGCCUUUGAUACUGGGUAUCUUGAGUAUGGAAGAGGUAAGUGGAAUUCCGAGUGUAGAGGUGAAAUUCGUAGAUAUUCGGAGGAACACCAGUGGCGAAGGCGGCUUACU
rnacentral:rRNA from 1 species